UACGUAGGGGGCAAGCGUCGUCCGGAAUCAUUGGGCGUAAAGCGCGUGUAGGCGGCUGAGUAAGUCUGCUCUGAAAGCCCGGGGCUCAACCCCGGGAGGCGGGUGGAUACUGCUCAGCUCGAGUCCGGAAGAGGAGUGUGGAAUUCCUGGUGUAGCGGUGAAAUGCGCAGAUAUCAGGAAGAACACCCGUGGCUAAGGCGGCUCUCUAGUACGGUACUGACGCUGAGACGCGAAAGCGUGGGGAGCGAACAGG
rnacentral:rRNA from 1 species